UGCUUAGCGAAGAUGGAAUGUCUACAACACAUGCUGAUUUAAGGGGGCAGAGUGCCUGUGUCCAUCUUUAUGGAGCGACAUUAAUGGGUAAUCUUGACUUUAUACGUGUUCCAUUCCCAUUUUUUCUAGUUUGGGUGCCUGUAUCUCCCCUUUUUCAAAAUCGUGGAUCUUCAUCGGCAUAAUACAAGAUAAAUACCACUAUAUUCGACUCUUGCUGAUUUGAAACUAGAACAUUACUUUUCAAUGGUAUUUGUAAACGUUGUU
rnacentral:lncRNA from 1 species